GAUGAACGCUGGCGGCGUGCUUAACACAUGCAAGUCGAACGAUGAAGCCCAGCUUGCUGGGUGGAUUAGUGGCGAACGGGUGAGUAACACGUGAGUAACCUGCCCUUAACUCUGGGAUAAGCCUGGGAAACUGGGUCUAAUACCGGAUAGGAGCGCCUACCGCAUGGUGGGUGUUGGAAAGAUCUAUCGGUUUUGGAUGGACUCGCGGCCUAUCAGCUUGUUGGUGAGGUAUUGGCUCACCAAGGCGACGACGGGUAGCCGGCCUGAGAGGGUGACCGGCCACACUGGUACUGAGACACGGCCCAGACGCCUACGGGAGGCAGCAGUGGGGAAUAUUGCACAAUGGGCGAAAGCCUGAUACAGCGACGCCGCGUGAGGGAUGACGGCCUUCGGGUUGUAAACCUCUUUCAGUAGGGAAGAAGCGAAAGUGACGGUACCUACAGAGGAAGCACCGGCUAACUACGUG
rnacentral:rRNA from 1 species